GUGCUCAUGUCAGAAGCAUGUAUUGUAACUAUAGGAAACAUACAGAUAAUAUUAGCAUGUGCUCUGUGCAAUGAAGAUAUUUCAAAUUUGUGAAAUGUUACACAUGCAC